rnacentral:sRNA from 1 species
ACCCGACUAUCGACGCGCGCGGCAGGAGCGGGGGAACCAGGUAGGCCGCUGUUCCGGAUCUUUCGCGUCCGAACAGCUCGGGGUGAAGCCGCUCAUGUUCCUUUCAUGCGCGGCCGGACAUCUCCAGUCCGAACCCGACAGCUCACCUCGCAGGCGACGGAGAGGAAUU